GGCCGCGGGAAUUCGAUUCAGGCCUAACACAUGCAAGUCGAGCGAUCUUCUUCAGAAGAGAGCGGCGGACGGGUGAGUAACGCGUGGGUAACCUGCCCUGUACACACGGAUAACAUACCGAAAGGUAUGCUAAUACGAGAUAAUAUACUUUUAUCGCAUGGUAGAAGUAUCAAAGCUCCGGCGGUACAGGAUGGACCCGCGUCUGAUUAGCUAGUUGGUAAGGUAACGGCUUACCAAGGCGACGAUCAGUAGCCGACCUGAGAGGGUGAUCGGCCACAUUGGAACUGAGACACGGUCCAAACUCCUACGGGAGGCAGCAGUGGGGAAUAUUGCACAAUGGGCGAAAGCCUGAUGCAGCAACGCCGCGUGAGCGAUAAGGGCCUUCGGGUCGUAAAGCUCUGUCCUCAAGGAAG
rnacentral:rRNA from 1 species